UCUCGUGUAACUCAGUGGUAGAGCGUCCGACCGGUGUGCGGAAGGUCAUAGGUUCGACUCCUGUUGGUUAUCAUGGAAA
rnacentral:tRNA from 1 species